CGUCCCCAGGCCCACGGUGCAGUGCUGCAUCUCUGGUCAGUUGGGAGUCUGAGAUGAAGCACUGUAGCUCGGGAGGAGGGACAC
rnacentral:pre_miRNA from 1 species